CCAGCAGCCGCGGUAAUACGUAGGGUGCAAGCGUUAAUCGGAAUUACUGGGCGUAAAGCGUGCGCAGGCGGUUAUAUAAGUCAGAUGUGAAAUCCCCGGGCUCAACCUGGGCACUGCAUUUGAGACUGUAUGGCUAGAGUGUGUCAGAGGGGGGUAGAAUUCCACGUGUAGCAGUGAAAUGCGUAGAUAUGUGGAGGAACACCGAUGGCGAAGGCAGCCCCCUGGGAUAAGACUGACGCUCAUGUACGAAAGCGUGGGGAGCAAACAGGAUUAGAUACCCUGGUA
rnacentral:rRNA from 1 species